AAAGGUUGCCGAUGCUCUCAGGAAAGCAACUCCAUCUAAAUCCAUACCACCAAGUUAUCUUCGAGGCUUGGUUGUUCAGUGAAUUCCUGCAUGAUAGAGAAGCUCAUCAGGAAUCCAGGCCACAAAUGCUGUUAAGGUAAAUAAUGAGAUUGAAAAGCAAUUAAACUCCUUGAGCACCAAAAACAUCAAGACCAAGUGGACAUCAUCACCUUUGGAAAAAAUAACCUACUAUCUGGGUACCGUGAUUGUAAUAAUCAUGGGGUCACUGAAAGACAAGUACCUGUCCCAUUGCUUCAAUGAAAGAUCAAUCAGUGGUACAAUGAUGCUCAAAGCCCAAGAAGAAACUCUUUCAAAUCCUAGCAACACCACCCAUUUGGUGCAUUACUUGAGCUACUACAUCUGCGUUCAUCUCAGAUAUCCAUACUUCGAUCCAGGAAUAAAGCUAUUUAGAAUAUCAGACAAGACCUACCAGUGUAGCUGCCCAUGCUGCAAGAACCCCAAAGAAUAUCGUUGUGUUCGUUCUGUUUUGCCAGGAUAUGUUAUCGGCCACAGAUGCUCAGCUUUCAUUUGUUAAUGCAACUGAGUUCUCAGCCAAAUUUCUUACUUUCGAUAAGAUCUGGUUGCAAUUGGAAAAAUCAACUGUGCUAAUCAGGAGAAAUCAGCUGACUUGAGUGCAAGAACUUUCUGCCACGUAAUGCGAUUCUAGAAGAAUCAUUUAUCUCAAGAUGAUCAUAAUUGUUGCUGAUGUUUGUCUCCCAGAAGAAAUACAUAUUGCUAUACCCAUGAAGAUCAAACUUAAAACCAGAACCUGCAUCUUGACCAAUAGCACUUACAUCAUUAUAAAGGUUUUAGUAUGCAGACUUUUGCAACAAGCAUGACAAGAAUGUUCUACAUUUGAAGCAAGAUGUAAAAGUUACCAAAUCUUGAAAGCUUUAGAAGUGGUGGGUAUAGGUCAUCAGGAACUCAGGGAUGUAAAAGUUGAACGAGCUUGAGCAGAAAUGCUUAACCAAGAACC
rnacentral:lncRNA from 1 species